CCCGUAAUCCGGGUUGCGGACAGUGUCUGGUGGGUAGUUUGACUGGGGCGGUCUCCUCCUAAAGAGUAACGGAGGAGCACGAAGGUUGGCUAAUCCUGGUCGGACAUCAGGAGGUUAGUGCAAUGGCAUAAGCCAGCUUGACUGCGAGCGUGACGGCGCGAGCAGGUGCGAAAGCAGGUCAUAGUGAUCCGGUGGUUCUGAAUGGAAGGGCCAUCGCUCAACGGAUAAAAGGUACUCCGGGGAUAACAGGCUGAUACCGCCCAAGAGUUCAUAUCGACGGCGGUGUUUGGCACCUCGAUGUCGGCUCAUCACAUCCUGGGGCUGAAGUAGGUCCCAAGGGUAUGGCUGUUCGCCAUUUAAAGUGGUACGCGAGCUGGGUUUAGAACGUCGUGAGACAGUUCGGUCCCUAUCUGCCGUGGGCGCUGGAGAACUGAGGGGGGCUGCUCCUAGUACGAGAGGACCGGAGUGGACGCAUCACUGGUGUUCGGGUUGUCAUGCCAAUGGCACUGCCCGGUAGCUAAAUGCGGAAGAGAUAAGUGCUGAAAGCAUCUAAGCACGAAACUUGCCCCGAGAUGAGUUCUCCCUGAGACUUAGAGUCUCCUGAAGGAACGUUGAAGACGACGACGUUGAUAGGCCGGGUGUGUAAGCGCAGCGAUGCGUUGAGCUAACCGGUACUAAUGAACCGUGAGGCUUAACCUUACAACGCCGAAG
rnacentral:rRNA from 3 species